GUGGGGAAUAUUGGACAAUGGGCGAAAGCCUGAUCCAGCCAUGCCGCGUGUGUGAAGAAGGUCUUCGGAUUGUAAAGCACUUUAAGUUGGGAGGAAGGGCAGUAAGUUAAUACCUUGCUGUUUUGACGUUACCGACAGAAUAAGCACCGGCUAACUUCGUGCCAGCAGCCGCGGUAAUACGAAGGGUGCAAGCGUUAAUCGGAAUUACUGGGCGUAAAGCGCGCGUAGGUGGUUUUGUAAGUUGGAGGUGAAAUCCCCGGGCUCAACCUGGGAACUGACUCCAAAACUGGAUGACUAGAGUACGGUAGAGGGUAGUGGAAUUUCCUGUGUAGCGGUGAAAUGCGUAGAUAUAGGAAGGAACACCAGUGGCGAAGGCGACUACCUGGACUGAUACUGACACUGAGGUGCGAAAGCGUGGGGAGCAAACAGGAUUAGAAACCCGGGUAGUCC
rnacentral:rRNA from 1 species